rnacentral:rRNA from 1 species
GGUGAACGCUGGCGGUAGGCCUAACACAUGCAAGUCGAACGGCAGCACAGUAAGAGCUUGCUCUUACGGGUGGCGAGUGGCGGACGGGUGAGGAAUACAUCGGAAUCUACUUUUUCGUGGGGGAUAACGUAGGGAAACUUACGCUAAUACCGCAUACGACCUACGGGUGAAAGCAGGGGAUCUUCGGACCUUGCGCGAUUGAAUGAGCCGAUGUCGGAUUAGCUAGUUGGCGGGGUAAAGGCCCACCAAGGCGACGAUCCGUAGCUGGUCUGAGAGGAUGAUCAGCCACACUGGAACUGAGACACGGUCCUGACUCCUACGAGAGGCAGCAGUGGGGAAUAUUGGACAAUGGGCGCAAGCCUGAUCCAGCCAUACCGCGUGGGUGAAGAAGGCCUUCGGGUUGUAAAGCCCUUUUGUUGGGAAAGAAAAGCAGCAGGUUAAUACCCCGCUGUUCUGACGGUACCCAAAGAAUAAGCACCGGCUAACUUCGUG